UGGGGAAUUUUGGACAAUGGGCGAAAGCCUGAUCCAGCAAUGCCGCGUGUGUGAAGAAGGCCUUCGGGUUGUAAAGCACUUUUGUCCGGAAAGAAAUCCUUGGCUCUAAUACAGUCGGGGGAUGACGGUACCGGAAGAAUAAGCACCGGCUAACUACGUGCCAGCAGCCGCGGUAAUACGUAGGGUGCAAGCGUUAAUCGGAAUUACUGGGCGUAAAGCGUGCGCAGGCGGUUUGCUAAGACCGAUGUGAAAUCCCCGGGCUCAACCUGGGAACUGCAUUGGUGACUGGGCAGGCUAGAGUAUGGCAGAGGGGGGUAGAAUUCCACGUGUAGCAGUGAAAUGCGUAGAGAUGUGGAGGAAUACCGAUGGCGAAGGCAGCCCCCUGGGCCAAUACUGACGCUCAUGCACGAAAGCGUGGGGAGCAAACAGGAUUAGAUACCCUGGUAGUCCACGCCCUAAAACGAUGUCAACUAGUUGUUGGGGAUUCAUUUCCUUAGUAACGUAGCUAACGCGUGAAGUUGACCGCCUGGGGAGUACGGUCGC
rnacentral:rRNA from 1 species